rnacentral:tRNA from 1 species
UCCCUGUUGGCUCAAAUGGUAAAGAAUCUGCCUGCAAUGCAGGAGACCCAGGUUCAAUUCCUGGGUCAGGAA